ACACCUUCCACUAUCCCAGGUUGCUCCAAGCCCCACCCAGCCCAGCCUGAAACACUUCCAGGGAUGGAACAGCCACAGCUUCUCUGGGCACCCUGUGCCAGGGCCUCAGCACCCUCACAGGGAAGGAUUUCUUCCUAAUAUCCCAUCUAAACCUACUCUCUUCCAGCUUAAGGCCAUUGGGAUUUUUCUGGGAGGGAAAGACAGGACAGGCCUUUCAUUCAGGUAGGUGCAAAGAGAUUGGAAGAAUCUUGCAAGAAAUCUCACAUGCAGUGGAAUGACCAGGCUGGAUGGAGCCCUGGGCAGCCUGUCUAGUGGAAGAUGUCCCUGCCCAUGACAGGGGGUUGGAGAUGAUCUUCGAGGUCCUUUCCACACAAACCAGUUAUGAUCCUAUGUGUGCCACAAGGUCAGGGCUAGGAGGGGAGCAUUAACCCCUUCAUCCCUGGUUUGUCCGUGCCUGGACUUGCUGCAUCAAACCAGCUCAAAGGACAGAGCUGCAAGCCUAAAUCAUCUCACUUCUCACUUUCCUGUGAUUGUCAUUGUCACUGCUGAUUUGUUUUACAGCAGAGCCCAGGGCCAGCAGUCGUGGAUCAGCCCUGGCUGCCACAGACAAAGGGAUGGGUCCUACCCCGUGUGGGUGCAAGAGGCAAAUUCCAGGAGCUUCAGCCGAACAAAGGAGCAGCAUCACGGGUGCCACCAGCCCCGUGUUUUCUGUUCCUGCACCUGAUCCCAAACGCAGCCAUCAGCAAUGCCUGGGGCCACACGGUGUGAGGCAUCCAGAGAUGGGAAACCCUGCUGCCAGAGGGACCCCUUUGAUCUGCAAGCAGACUGAAUGACUGAAGCAGGAAUUUGCUUUAGCAGCCACCCAAGCUGAGUUUCUUGUACCUGCAGUAGCUGUGUGACCCUAAACUGAUGCUGUAAGUGAUGGUGGUGAUUCUCUGCUCACCAGAGAUGUGCAAUGCUGCUGAGUUUACCAUGGUCAAAGCUCUCUUUUGGCAAUUCUUUGUACUUUCUGCCACUGCAUGAAUCAAACAAACUCAUGUGGGUGAAAUAUGAAAUAAAGAAACGUUUUUAACUGGGAGAGUGACACUGUGCUCUUCCAUUUGUAAAGGAAAGGAGAGUGGGAUUUCUAGGGAUCUCUGGGGCUUGGAAAUGUGUGUGCAGGCAAAUGUUCAUCUAAGUUUAGUCUCUCAUCCCCAACAGGUGGGAGGAAUCACAGAAUCAGGGAAUGGUUUGGGUUGGAAGGAACCUUAUAGAGGCACUGGCACAGAUUGCCAGAGAAGCUGUGGCUGCCCCAUCCCUGGGGCAGUGGAAAGUGUCCCUGUCCACAAGUUAG
rnacentral:lncRNA from 1 species